rnacentral:rRNA from 1 species
AGUCGAGGGGCAGCAUGGUCUUAGCUUGCUAAGGCCGAUGGCGACCGGCGCACGGGUGAGUAACACGUAUCCAACCUGCCGUCUACUCUUGGACAGCCUUCUGAAAGGAAGAUUAAUACAAGAUGGCAUCAUGAGUCCGCAUGUUCACAUGAUUAAAGGUAUUCCGGUAGACGAUGGGGAUGCGUUCCAUUAGAUAGUAGGCGGGGUAACGGCCCACCUAGUCUUCGAUGGAUAGGGGUUCUGAGAGGAAGGUCCCCCACAUUGGAACUGAGACACGGUCCAAACUCCUACGGGAGGCAGCAGUGAGGAAUAUUGGUCAAUGGGCGAGAGCCUGAACCAGCCAAGUAGCGUGAAGGAUGACUGCCCUAUGGGUUGUAAACUUCUUUUAUAAAGGAAUAAAGUCGGGUAUGGAUACCCGUUUGCAUGUACUUUAUGAAUAAGGAUCGGCUAACUCCGUGCCAGCAGCCGCGGUAAUACGGAGGAUCCGAGCGUUAUCCGGAUUUAUUGGGUUUAAAGGGAGCGUAGAUGGAUGUUUAAGUCAGUUGUGAAAGUUUGCGGCUCAACCGUAAAAUUGCAGUUGAUACUGGAUAUCUUGAGUGCAGUUGAGGCAGGCGGAAUUCGUGGUGUAGCGGUGAAAUGCUUAGAUAUCACGAAGAACUCCGAUUGCGAAGGCAGCCUGCUAAGCUGC